rnacentral:rRNA from 1 species
GACGAACCGUGCGAACGUUGUUCGGAAUCACUGGGCUUAAAGGGCGCGUAGGCGGGUCACCAAGUCCGGGGUGAAAUCUUUCGGCUCAAUCGGAAAAGUGCCUUGGAUACUGGUGGUCUUGAGCGAGGUAGGGGCAGCUGGAACUUCCGGUGGAGCGGUGAAAUGCGUUGAUAUCGGAAGGAACUCCGGUGGCGAAAGCGAGCUGCUGGACCUUUUCUGACGCUGAGGCGCGAAAGCUAGGGGAGCAAACGGG